GAUGAACGCUGGCGGCGUGCCUAAUACAUGCAAGUCGAGCGAACAGACGAGGAGCUUGCUCCUCUGACGUUAGCGGCGGACGGGUGAGUAACACGUGGAUAACCUACCUAUAAGACUGGGAUAACUUCGGGAAACCGGAGCUAAUACCGGAUAAUAUAUUGAACCGCAUGGUUCAAUAGUGAAAGACGGUUUUGCUGUCACUUAUAGAUGGAUCCGCGCCGCAUUAGCUAGUUGGUAAGGUAACGGCUUACCAAGGCGACGAUGCGUAGCCGACCUGAGAGGGGGAUCGGCCACACUGGAACGGAGACCGGGUCCAGACUCCUACGGGAGGCAGCAGUAGGGAAUCUUCCGCAAGGGGCGAAAGCCUGACGGAGCAACGCCGCGUGAGUGAGGAAGGUCUUCGGAUCGAAAAACUCUGUUAUUAGGGAAAAACAAAUGUGUAAGAAACUAUGCACGUCUUGACGGGACCUAAUCAGAAAGCCACGGCUAACUACG
rnacentral:rRNA from 1 species